GACACUCCUGCGGGAGGCAGCAGUGGGGAAUAUUGGACAAUGGGCGCAAGCCUGAUCCAGCCAUGCCGCGUGAGUGAUGAAGGCCCUAGGGUUGUAAAGCUCUUUCACCGGUGAAGAUAAUGACGGUAACCGGAGAAGAAGCCCCGGCUAACUUCGUGCCAGCAGCCGCGGUAAUACGAAGGGGGCUAGCGUUGUUCGGAUUUACUGGGCGUAAAGCGCACGUAGGCGGACUAUUAAGUCAGGGGUGAAAUCCCGGGGCUCAACCCCGGAACUGCCUUUGAUACUGGUAGUCUUGAGUUCGAGAGAGGUGAGUGGAAUUCCGAGUGUAGAGGUGAAAUUCGUAGAUAUUCGGAGGAACACCAGUGGCGAAGGCGGCUCACUGGCUCGAUACUGACGCUGAGGUGCGAAAGCGUGGGGAGCAAACAGGAUUAGAAACCCGUGUAGUCCCA
rnacentral:rRNA from 1 species